AGCUCCAAUAGCGUAUAUUAAAGUUGUUGCAGUUAAAAGCUCGUAGUUGGAUUUCUGGCAGGGUGCCUGUGCCCUAAGCUUAGUGUGCACAGAUGCCUUUCCAUCCUUCUGUUAACCUUGGAGGCUUUUACGGCUUCCCUGGGGCUCAGAUAUUUUACCUUGAGAAAAUUAGAGUGUUUCAGGCAGGCUAGCGCCGGAAUACAUUAGCAUGGAAUAAUAGAAUAGGACAUUUGCCUCUUCUGUUGGUCAUGGGGUUUAUGUAAUGAUUAAUAGGGAUAGUUGGGGGCAUUAGUACUUCACUGUCAGAGGUGAAAUUCUCGGAUUUGUGAAAGACUAACUUAUGCGAAAGCAUUUGCCAAGGAUGUUUUCA
rnacentral:rRNA from 1 species